UACGUAGGGUGCGAGCGUUAAUCGGAAUUACUGGGCGUAAAGCGUGCGCAGGCGGUUCGUUAAGUUCGUUGUGAAAGCCCCGGGCUCAACCUGGGAAUGGCAAUGGAAACUGGCGGGCUUGGAGUGCGGCAGAGGGGGGUGGAAUUCCGCGUGUAGCAGUGAAAUGCGUAGAGAUGUGGAGGAACACCGAUGGCGAAGGCAGCCCCCUGGGCUAACACUGACGCUCAGGCACGAAAGCGUGGGGAGCAAACAGG
rnacentral:rRNA from 1 species